AUACAUGCAAGUCGAACGCGCAGCGAAAGGUGCUUGCACCUUUCAAGCGAGUGGCGAACGGGUGAGUAACACGUGGAUAACCUGCCUCAAGGCUGGGGAUAACAUUUGGAAACAGAUGCUAAUACCGAAUAAAACUUAGUAUCGCAUGAUACAAAGUUGAAAGGCGCUACGGCGUCACCUAGAGAUGGGUCCGCGGUGCAUUAGUUAGUUGGUGGGGUAAAGGCCUACCAAGACAAUGAUGCAUAGCCGAGUUGAGAGACUGAUCGGCCACAUUGGGACUGAGACACGGCCCAAACUCCUACGGGAGGCUGCAGUAGGGAAUCUUCCACAAUGGGCGAAAGCCUGAUGGAGCAACGCCGCGUGUGUGAUGAAGGCUUUAGGGUCGUAAAGCACUGUUGUAUGGGAAGAAAUGCUAGAAUAGGGAAUGAUUCUAGUUCGACGGUACCAUACCAGAAAGGGACGGCUAAAUACGUGCCAGCAGCCGCGGUAAUACGUAUGUCCCGAGCGUUAUCCGGAUUUAUUGGGCGUAAAGCGAGCGCAGACGGUUGAUUAAGUCUGAUGUGAAAGCCCGGAGCUCAACUCCGGAAUGGCAUUGGAAACUGGUUAACUUGAGUGUUGUAGAGGUAAGUGGAACUCCAUGUGUAGCGGUGGAAUGCGUAGAUAUAUGGAAGAACACCAGUGGCGAAGGCGGCUUACUGGACAACAACUGACGUUGAGGCUCGAAAGUGU
rnacentral:rRNA from 1 species